rnacentral:lncRNA from 1 species
AACGAAUGAGUGUUCCUGCUGCUCCACAUCCUCGCUGGCGUUCAGCGUUGUCAGUGUUUUGGAUUUUGACCAUUCCAAUAGACUCAAGGUCUUCAGUUAAUGCUUCGAGGAAAUCUGUCUAGGGAUUGAAUGUGCUCCUUGUGACAGCUGGCCACAGAGGCAGAAGAUUGGAAAGGAAAAGCCUAGAACAAACUGAGAGGCCUCAUGGAUGGGGGUGAAGCCCAGCGAGCAUGGUCCUGGGCGGGCUGGGCCCGUCGACCCGCCGUAACUGGGAAGGGCUGGGCCCCCGGGAGGCUGGUCUUGGAAGACUAGUGUCACCUGCUCCAGUUGGGGUUCCUGACUCGGUGACAUGGGCUCUGCUCUCCCCUUCUGCUUCUGAGGAACUGGGAGUGGAUGGAACGCUUUUCCAGUCAGUUCUCUCUGGAGAAGCAUCAUGCACGCCCUACACCAGCUCUCACGGGCUCCUUUUCCACAGAUACAGAUUCAACCCAGUGCUGGUUAUGUGAGGACUGUGAAAAUCAGGCUCCACACCCUCCUAGUAACAACUGCCUACCUCUAUGUUGUGAAAAUGCAUGAUUGCAGACAUUUGACUUGAUUUUGAGCAGAUUUCUUAAACUAAUGCAAAUAAAAUAUGUUUUUAGAAGAGAAAUAAUAAAUAGCACUUUCUUCUUUUGUUUGUAGUAAGGGCCUGCCCUGAAGGACAGCCGUAGCUGACCUUGGAAUGCAUUAGUCCUAAGGGGUAGGGACGUGUCUCUUUCCUUGCUGUUUUUGCCAGGGGGAAAGAGACACUUCAGGUGACGCUCUUCUCUGUUAUAACUUAGCUGAAGAUAAAGCCUUAAGUCUUUUCUC